UAAUUAAAUAUUAUCUCAUAUAAUCCUAGUAAUAUGGUCUAGGAGUUUCUACAAGAUAACCUUAAAUUAUCUUACUAUGGGCAGAGACAUAUA
rnacentral:ncRNA from 1 species